AGGAUCUGCUGUAGUGCUGCCUGCAGUUUACUGGGCAGGAUGCAGUCCUCAUCGCCCAGCUGUCACACAUCACAGGAAAGAUCCACUAUGAGCACCUGGGAAGACAGCGAAAAGAAAAAGCGACAGUUACCGACGGCACCAGCUUCACUAUUUCGCAACACAGCAGUACCUAAGUUUGUCAGCGAUGAAGAUGACUCUCCUCUCAAGCAGGAGGGAAGCGAACACCUGCAGGAGUUUCCCGACACUGAGACACUGCAGCAGACUGUCAAAGUCCACAUGCUCUAAUCUGGAGUCCACUGGCCGACAUAAAGCUUACCUCAUUCCCAGAGCCAGGGAGGAAGCUUUUGACGGUGACUGUGCGCCCGGGGGCUGGAAACGGGGCCUCCAUCACACUACGCAUAAAAGGGUAAACCAGAGCUGGG